CCGGCCAUACCGCGUGGGUGAAGAAGGCCUUCGGGUUGUAAAGCCCUUUUGUUGGGAAAGAAAUCCAGCUGGUUAAUACCCGGUUGGGAUGACGGUACCCAAAGAAUAAGCACCGGCUAACUUCGUGCCAGCAGCCGCGGUAAUAA
rnacentral:rRNA from 1 species